rnacentral:rRNA from 1 species
GACGAACGCUGGCGGCGUGCCUAAUACAUGCAAGUCGAACGCAGUGGGGACGGGUGAGUAACACGUGGGUAACCUCCCAUCAGAGGGGAUAACACUUGGAAACAGGUGCUAAACCGAUACUGAUGGAUGGACCCGCGGUGCAUUAGCUAGUUGGUGAGGUAACGGCUCACCAGGGCCACGAGGCAUAGCCGACCGGAGAGGGUGAUAGGCCACACUGGGACUGAGCCACGGCCCAGAAUCCUACGAGAGGCAGCAGUAGGAGAUCUUCGGCAAUGGACGAAAGUAUGACCGAGCAACGACGCGUGAGUGAAGAAGGUUUUCGGAUCGUAAUACUCUGUUGUUAGAGAAGCGGUAUCUAGCCAAAAAGCCAAGGCUGACUACGUGACAGCCGCCGCGGUAAUAC